rnacentral:rRNA from 1 species
CUGGAAAGGCGCGCGAUACAGGGUGACAGCCCCGUACACAAAAAUGCACAUACUGUGAGCUCGAUGAGUAGGGCGGGACACGUGGUAUCCUGUCUGAAUAUGGGGGGACCAUCCUCCAAGGCUAAAUACUCCUGACUGACCGAUAGUGAACCAGUACCGUGAGGGAAAGGCGAAAAGAACCCCGGCGAGGGGAGUGAAAAAGAACCUGAAACCGUGUACGUACAAGCAGUGGGAGCACAGAGCAAUCUGUGUGACUGCGUACCUUUUGUAUAAUGGGUCAGCGACUUAUAUUCUGUAGCAAGGUUAACCGAAUAGGGGAGCCGAAGGGAAACCGAGUCUUAACUGGGCGUUAAGUUGCAGGGUAUAGACCCGAAACCCGGUGAUCUAGCCAUGGGCAGGUUGAAGGUUGGGUAACACUAACUGGAGGACCGAACCGACUAAUGUUGAAAAAUUAGCGGAUGACUUGUGGCUGGGGGUGAAAGGCCAAUCAAACCGGGAGAUAGCUGGUUCUCCCCGAAAGCUAUUUAGGUAGCGCCUCGUGAAUUCAUCUCCGGGGGUAGAGCACUGUUUCGGCAAGGGGGUCAUCCCGACUUACCAACCCGAUGCAAACUGCGAAUACCGGAGAAUGUUAUCACGGGAGACACACGGCGGGUGCUAACGUCCGUCGUGAAGAGGGAAACAACCCAGACCGCCAGCUAAGGUCCCAAAGUCAUGGUUAAGUGGGAAACGAUGUGGGAAGGCCCAGACAGCCAGGAUGUUGGCUUAGAAGCAGCCAUCAUUUAAAGAAAGCGUAAUAGCUCACUGGUCGAGUCGGCCUGCGCGGAAGAUGUAACGGGGCUAAACCAUGCACCGAAGCUGCGGCAGCGACGCUGAUGCGUUGUUGGGUAGGGGAGCGUUCUGUAAGCCUGUGAAGGUGUGCUGUGAGGCAUGCUGGAGGUAUCAGAAGUGCGAAUGCUGACAUAAGUAACGAUAAAGCGGGUGAAAAGCCCGCUCGCCGGAAGACCAAGGGUUCCUGUCCAACGUUAAUCGGGGCAGGGUGAGUCGACCCCUAAGGCGAGGCCGAAAGGCGUAGUCGAUGGGAAACAGGUUAAUAUUCCUGUACUUGGUGUUACUGCGAAGGGGGGACGGAGAAGGCUAUGUUGGCCGGGCGACGGUUGUCCCGGUUUAAGCGUGUAGGCUGGUUUUCCAGGCAAAUCCGGAAAAUCAAGGCUGAGGCGUGAUGACGAGGCACUACGGUGCUGAAGCAACAAAUGCCCUGCUUCCAGGAAAAGCCUCUAAGCAUCAGGUAACAUCAAAUCGUACCCCAAACCGACACAGGUGGUCAGGUAGAGAAUACCAAGGCGCUUGAGAGAACUCGGGUGAAGGAACUAGGCAAAAUGGUGCCGUAACUUCGGGAGAAGGCACGCUGAUAUGUAGGUGAAGUCCCUCGCGGAUGGAGCUGAAAUCAGUCGAAGAUACCAGCUGGCUGCAACUGUUUAUUAAAAACACAGCACUGUGCAAACACGAAAGUGGACGUAUACGGUGUGACGCCUGCCCGGUGCCGGAAGGUUAAUUGAUGGGGUCAGCGCAAGCGAAGCUCUUGAUCGAAGCCCCGGUAAACGGCGGCCGUAACUAUAACGGUCCUAAGGUAGCGAAAUUCCUUGUCGGGUAAGUUCCGACCUGCACGAAUGGCGUAAUGAUGGCCAGGCUGUCUCCACCCGAGACUCAGUGAAAUUGAACUCGCUGUGAAGAUGCAGUGUACCCGCGGCAAGACGGAAAGACCCCGUGAACCUUUACUAUAGCUUGACACUGAACAUUGAGCCUUGAUGUGUAGGAUAGGUGGGAGGCUUUGAAGUGUGGACGCCAGUCUGCAUGGAGCCGACCUUGAAAUACCACCCUUUAAUGUUUGAUGUUCUAACGUUGACCCGUGAUCCGGGUUGCGGACAGUGUCUGGUGGGUAGUUUGACUGGGGCGGUCUCCUCCUAAAGAGUAACGGAGGAGCACGAAGGUUGGCUAAUCCUGGUCGGACAUCAGGAGGUUAGUGCAAUGGCAUAAGCCAGCUUGACUGCGAGCGUGACGGCGCGAGCAGGUGCGAAAGCAGGUCAUAGUGAUCCGGUGGUUCUGAAUGGAAGGGCCAUCGCUCAACGGAUAAAAGGUACUCCGGGGAUAACAGGCUGAUACCGCCCAAGAGUUCAUAUCGACGGCGGUGUUUGGCACCUCGAUGUCGGCUCAUCACAUCCUGGGGCUGAAGUAGGUCCCAAGGGUAUGGCUGUUCGCCAUUUAAAGUGGUACGCGAGCUGGGUUUAGAACGUCGUGAGACAGUUCGGUCCCUAUCUGCCGUGGGCGCUGGAGAACUGAGGGGGGCUGCUCCUAGUACGAGAGGACCGGAGUGGACGCAUCACUGGUGUUCGGGUUGUCAUGCCAAUGGCACUGCCCGGUAGCUAAAUGCGGAAGAGAUAAGUGCUGAAAGCAUCUAAGCACGAAACUUGCCCCGAGAUGAGUUCUCCCUGACUCCUUGAGAGUCCUGAAGGAACGUUGAAGACGACGACGUUGAUAGGCCGGAUGUGUAAGCGCAGCGAUGCGUUGAGCUAACCGGUACUAAUGAACCGUGAGGCUUAACCUU